AACGAACGCUGGCGGCAGGCCUAACACAUGCAAGUCGAACGCCCUAGCAAUAGGGAGUGGCAGACGGGUGAGUAACGCGUGGGAACGUGCCUUUCGGUUCGGAAUAACUCAGGGAAACUUGAGCUAAUACCGGAUACGCCCUUCGGGGGAAAGAUUUAUAUCCGAAAGAGCGGCCCGCGUCCGGUUAGCUAGUUGGGGAGGUAAAGGCUAACCAAGGCGACGAGCGGUAGCUGGUCUGAGAGGAUGAUCAGCCACACUGGGGCUGAGACACGGCGCGGAAUCCUACGGGAGGCGGCAAUGGGGAAUAUUGGACAAUGGGCGCAAGGCUGAUCCAGCCAUGCCGCGUGAGUGAUGAAGGCCCUAGGGUUGUAAAGCUCUUUCGCCAGGGACGAUAAUGACGGUACCUGGAUAAGAAGCCCCGGCUAACUUCGCGCCAGCCGCCGCCGUAA
rnacentral:rRNA from 1 species